AAGGUGUCUCAUUUCCGAUGCAAGGAUCUGGGAUGAAAAGGGAAGCAGGUGCGAAUCCUGCGCUAUGCCGUAGCUGUGUAUAGGUGGAGCGGUUUUCAAUAUGUCACUGGAGCGUUUGCUCUGGGAAGGCGGAAACCGUGCGGAUGCCUGAGCCAGAAGACCUGCCUUGAUAU
rnacentral:ncRNA from 1 species